GGGAGCGGUCCUAAUCUCCGGGGGGAGCUGGUUCCAAGACGUGGGCGCCAUCACAGAGAAAGCCCUCCCCCGCGGCCCCGCCAAAUGGCACUGCUUGGCUGACGGGACCUGAAGGAGGCCCAUUAAUAUAUUAAUGAUACCAAAUCCCAAACUACCAUAUGCUUUUCUCCAGUGGCUUCACAUACAUAUUCACAUAGCAGCUUUAAAUGGUGCCUCUGACAAAAACAGGACGGGACACAUGUUAAAUAAGAGAGGAAAGAAGUUUAAGCCCUGAUUUUCCAGAGAUUUUUGUGGUUGAUAGCCCAUUUCUUUCUCAUGCUGUGUGAGCCUAGCCAGUAUUGGUUUGCCUAGCCAUGAUUUAUUCAACAAACCAAAAGUAAGUCCUGUUACAGGCCAUUGACUCAGAAUUACAGCCGGUAUUUUCUGUUCUGAAUAGAAAUUACUCUGAGUUGAGAAUUCUGUACUCAUAAUACUGAGAUCUUCCCCUGUCUUCUUACCCAAAAAUCCUUUUAGGUGCAAGCGCUAGGCGUGGAAUCUAUUAUAUUGGACAACUGAAUUCUAUAUGGAGGAAAGCUAACAGUUAUUUUCCUUGGUUACUUUCCUUCAGAGCAUUUCAACCAUCCAAUGAUCAUUUACCAAGGAGAAUUCUGUUUGUUUACAUGAGAAUAUACUAAUUUCUUGUUCUAUACAGCAGUGGCAUUUAACUAAAUAUAAGUUCAUAAAGCCACAGGAGUUACUGUAGCCCAUAAAUUGCUCAUUCUUCCUGCCAAACAUUUCAUUCUUCACUGGCCUCAUUCUCUGCAAUUUGCUAGCGGCAGCUUUUUCCUAUGAAACCAGUAAGAAUGUUGACAUGCCACAAGUCAUCCAAUAAAGCUAUGGACAUUUUUUUAACACAGCAGUUUUAGGUACAGUGUCUUCCAGCAAUAUUUUCUCACACUCUGGAUAUAUUUAGAUUCAUGUGAGGCUUUCUGUUCACUUGUGCCAUUUUGUAUGUGUCCUUAUUUAAAAUAUAUUUAUUUCAGAGAUAUUUAUAUCUCAUCUUUCAUUAAUGUAAGUUCAAGUGGCAAACAAAAUAAAUGGAACUGUAAAACC